rnacentral:rRNA from 1 species
AAACCCAAAAGAUCGAAUGGGGAGAUUCAUCGCCAGCGGCGUUGGCUUCCGUGUGGCUCGCGAUGGCCGGGACUUCGGUCCAGCGUCACGCGUCCGCUGCGGUAUGUCCGACGACGUCGGCGUGCACUUCUCCCCUAGUAGGACGUCGCGACCCGUUGGGUGUCGGACCGAUGGCCGUCUGGUCGACUGUUUCGUCGCGUUUACGCGCGCACGUGGCAGACCAGCAUGGUCGAGUGUCCGGCUGCCCGGCGGUAUAGAACGCUAUUCAACGGUAAUGAGCCGCAUUAAGUGCGUUCAGGCCCGUCGGCAGGCUCGUCUCGCCCGGAUUUACGGACCUAGCGCCGUUGCCGGGUGCUUGGCGUGGCUGUUAGUCGACGGUGUCCUCGGACUGGCUCUAAAAUUCGAAAGGAUUACCGGUCGGCGACGCUACUGC